rnacentral:tRNA from 1 species
GCCCCGAUAGUGUAGUGGUAAGCAUGUUGGACUGUCACUCCAGCGACUCGGAUUCGAAUUCCGGUCGGGGCGCCA